UCGGAAGUGAGAAUGCUGACAUGAGUAGCGACAAACAGGGUGAGAAACCCUGUCGCCGUAAGUCCAAGGGUUCCUGCGCAAGGCUAAUCCGCGCAGGGUAAGCCGGCCCCUAAGGCGAGGCCGAAAGGCGUAGUCGAUGGGAACCACGCUAAUAUUCGUGGGCCAGGUGGAUGUGACGCCCGUCGUAAAUCGUUGCUCCUUAUCGGAUUGAAGCAGCGGUGAAGACGGGCCAGGAAAUAACACCACCAACAAUGACCGUACCCGAAACCGACACAGGUGGACUGGUAGAGUAUACCAAGGCGCUUGAGAGAACGAUGUUGAAGGAACUAGGCAAAUUACUCUCGUAACUUCGGAAUAAGAGAGCCUCGCCCGUGGGCAACCACAGGUGAGGGGCACAGACUAGGGGGUGGCGACUGUUUAUUAAAAACACAGGGCUCUGCGAAGUCGCAAGACGACGUAUAGGGUCUGACGCCUGCCCGGUGCCGGAAGGUCAAGAGGAGGGGUGCAAGCUCCGAAUUGAAGCCCCGGUAAACGGCGGCCGUAACUAUAACGGUCCUAAGGUAGCGAAAUUCCUUGUCGGGUAAGUUCCGACCUGCACGAAUGGCGUAACGACUUCCCCGCUGUCUCCAACAUCGACUCAGCGAAAUUGAACUCUCCGUGAAGAUGCGGAGUUCCCGCGGUCAGACGGAAAGACCCCGUGCACCUUUACUACAGCUUCACAGUGGCAUCAGAUAUUGGAUGUGUAGGAUAGGCGGGAGGCUAUGAAACCAGGGCGCCAGCCCAGGCGGAGCCACCCUUGAAAUACCGCCCUUCCCGUAUUUGAUGUCUAACCGCGUCCCGUAAGCCGGGACCGGGACCCUGUGUGGCGGGUAGUUUGACUGGGGCGGUCGCCUCCCAAAGAGUAACGGAGGCGCGCAAUGGUUGGCUCAGAGCGGUCGGAAAUCGCUCGACGAGUGCAAGAGCAAAAGCCAGCCUGACUGCGACACCGACGGGUGGAGCAGAGACGAAAGUCGGUUCUAGUGAUCCGGUGGUCCCUCGUGGAAGGGCCAUCGCUCAACGGAUAAAAGGUACGCCGGGGAUAACAGGCUGAUACUUCCCAAGAGUCCACAUCGACGGAAGUGUUUGGCACCUCGAUGUCGGCUCAUCUCAUCCUGGGGCUGGAGCAGGUCCCAAGGGUAUGGCUGUUCGCCAUUUAAAGAGGUACGUGAGCUGGGUUUAGAACGUCGUGAGACAGUUCGGUCCCUAUCUGCCGUGGGUGUAGGAUACUUGAGAGGAGCUGUCCCUAGUACGAGAGGACCGGGAUGGACGUACCUCUGGUGUACCAGUUGUUCCGCCAGGAGCACCGCUGGGUAGCUAUGUACGGAUUGGAUAACCGCUGAAUGCAUCUAAGCGGGAAACCAUCCUCAAAACAAGGUAUCCCUUGAGAGCCGUGGAAGACCACCACGUCAAUAGGCCGGGUGUGAAAGCGUGGCAACACGUGAAGCUAACCGGUACUAAUCGCUCGAUAGGCUU
rnacentral:rRNA from 1 species